UACGAAGGGGGCUAGCGUUGCUCGGAAUUACUGGGCGUAAAGGGCGCGUAGGCGGGUGUUUAAGUCAGAGGUCAAAUCCCAGGGCUCAACCCUGGAACUGCCUUUGAUACUGGGCACCUAGAGUUCGGGAGAGGUGUGUGGAACUCCGAGUGUAGAGGUGAAAUUCGUAGAUAUCGGGAGGAACACCUGUGGUGAAAGCGGCGCACUGGACCAUAACUGACGCUGAUGCGCGAAAGCUAGGGGAGCAAACAGG
rnacentral:rRNA from 1 species